rnacentral:misc_RNA from 1 species
UUAUCGUCGUAACAUUUCUCAACUCGCCCCAUCAGCAAACUCCACAAGGCACAAGCUACACGUUAUUUAUUAAUCCCUUCAAUACCCAAAACUGUUGCAUCUUUUACACCAAAGAAAGAAAAAAAAAACACCAAAUCAAGAACAAGUUUUCGCCAUUUUAAUAAUAAUUUAAUGGCUUCAAAUUCAUCGUUGUACGAAGUGUUGGGGAUCCCAGUGAGUGCAAGUUGCCGUGAGAUAAAAGCAGCGUACAGGAAACUAGCAAGAACUUGCCAUCCUGAUGUUGUCUCUGUAAAUCAGAAAGAUAUGUCAGCCAACGAGUUCAUGAAAAUACAUGCAGCUUAUUCUACCUUGUCUGACCCUAAUAAGCGUGCAAAUUAUGACAGAGAUCUUUAUAGGCAUCGCCAGCCUUUUGGUUCCUCUUCUUUCAACUCUGCAACAAUGGCAUCUGCUUCUGGUUAUGCUUGUUCUGGUAGAAACUGGGAGACUGACCAGUGUUGGUAGUGUUUAAUUUUUUUUAGAGUUCUAUUAAAUCUUUUUCUUGUUCUAAUGUAAGUUAGCUGAAAAGGGCUUGCCCAAUUUGAUCCUCUGUUUUAAAUAUAUCAAAAACAGAGUAGAAGACAGGGAAGAAAAGAUAUAUGCGUACAUAGAUCCUG